rnacentral:lncRNA from 1 species
GCUGAUUUGUAUCAGUGGGAAGCUCUGCUUUUUGCUUAUCUAAGGAAUGGAGGAGAAGUGUAUAAUGGCUUUUUGCCUUGAGGCGAUUUUCAGGCUAGCUUUUCGUUAAGUAAAAGUCUUCUCUUUACCCCCAGGGCUUCCUACAGAUCAACUAUAGAUGGAGGCCUCCUUAAAGGUAGAGGAUACAGUCUACAUAAGACCACACUCACUUCUGACGCAAACUGCAAGUUCUAGGAGGUCCAGUUUCAAUAAUUCUUCAGAAGAACUCACAGAGCUCACUGAAAGCUGUAAUAGAACCAUGCGAAAGAAAACAGACCCAGAGAAGUUACAAAAGAAGCAACCUGUUGAAGACCAAAUGGAGAACUGGCAACAGAGCAGAAUUAGAACUAAUGUCUUUUACCAACAAGACUAAUAUGUUUUCCAUGACCUAUAUCUACAAUUACUUCAUGCGUAAUUACAAUUACAAAUGACCUCCAAAACUUGCCUUCAUGUUUGAAUCAGAGGUCAUUGAUUGGCAGUUCUCCAGUGAGCAAGUUGUGUGAGACGUUUGAAGUGCUACCACACAGGUACUAUGAGAAUCACUCAAGAAUAUUUGAAAGGUAGGCAUAUACGGGCUAAGUACACACUGAAGUGUUCAUAAAAUAAAACGUUCAUAAAAUAGUUCAUAGAACAAAAGGAAACUUCUCUAUCACGACUAUAAAUUGGUCAUGAAUAUACUCACUGUCUUCAGCAGAAGACAGCUGAAAGUUGUUUACUGAAGAGGAAUUUAGCAAUUGAAAGAAAUCUGGGCCAGGUAUGCUGAUUCAAGCCUGUAAUCCUAGCACUUUGGGAGGCCAAGGCAGGAGGAUCACUUGAACCCAGGAGUUCAAGACCAGCCUGGGAGACAAAGUGAGAGCCCAUCCCUACAAAAAAAUUAGCUGGCUGGGUGGUGUGCACCUGUAGUCCCAAUAACUUGGGAGGCUGAGGUGGGAAGAUCAUAUGAACCUAGGAGGUCAAGUCUGCAAUGAGUUGUGAUUGUGCCUCUGCACUCUAGCUUGGGUGACAGAAUGAGACCCUGUCUCCAAAAAAACAAAAUCACAAGCAAACAAAAAGAAAUCUGGGGUAACUUAUUAAAAG